ACGUAGGGUGCGAGCGUUAAUCGGAUUUACUGGGCGUAAAGAGCGCGUAGGCGGUCCAUUAAGUGUGAAGCUAAAUCUCCCGGCUCAACCGGGAAACUAUUUCGCAUACUGAUGGGCUGGAGUGAUGCAGAGGUGGAUAGAAUUCCCGGUGUAGCGGUGAAAUGCGUUGAUAUCGGGAGGAAUACCCGUGGCGAAGGCGGUCCACUGGGCAUCAACUGACGCUGAGGCGCGAAAGCGUGGGUAGCAAACAGGA
rnacentral:rRNA from 1 species